rnacentral:rRNA from 1 species
GACGAACGCUGGCGGCGUGCUUAACACAUGCAAGUCGAACGGAAAGGCCCUGCUUUUGUGGGGUGCUCGAGUGGCGAACGGGUGAGUAACACGUGAGUAACCUGCCCUUGACUGUGGGAUAACUUCAGGAAACUGGGGCUAAUACCGGAUAGGAGCUCCUGCUGCAUGGUGGGGGUUGGAAAGUUUCGGCGGUUGGGGAUGGACUCGCGGCUUAUCAGCUUGUUGGUGGGGUAGUGGCUUACCAAGGCUUUGACGGGUAGCCGGCCUGAGAGGGUGACCGGCCACAUUGCGACUGAGAUACGGCCCAGACUCCUACGGGAGGCAGCAGUGGGGAAUAUUGCACAAUGGGCGGAAGCCUGAUGCAGCAACGCCGCGUGCGGGAUGACGGCCUUCGCGUUGUAAACCGCUUUCGCCUGUGACGAAGCGUGAGUGACGGUACUGGGUAAAGAAGCACCGGCUAACUACGUG